GAUGAAGAACGUAGCGAAAUGCGAUAAGUAGUGUGAAUUGCAGACUUUAGUGAAUCAUCGAAUCUUUGAACGCACAUUGCGCCCCUUGGUAUUCCAUUGGGCAUGCCUGUUCGAGCAUCAUUUACACCCUCAAGCCUAGCUUGGUGUUGGGCGUUGUCCGCAAGGACUCGCCUCAAAUUCAUUGGCAGCGGCAUCGUCAGCUUCUCGCGCAGCACAUUGCGCUUCAGAAGGCUUCUGGCGGGCUCGCGUCCACUAAGAUACCACCCAGUUUGACCUCGAAUCAGGUAGGGAUACCCGCUGAACUUAAGCAUAUCAAUAAGCGGAGGA
rnacentral:misc_RNA from 1 species